rnacentral:ncRNA from 2 species
AGUGAAUAUGGAUUUUAAAUUUAUAUAAUGCUAAUAAUAUGGAUUAGCAGUCUCUACCGAAUAACCGUAAAUUAUUCGACUAUGAAUGAAAGUGUACCUAGG